GUCGGCUUUUUAAAACGAAUACAUCAUCUGCAACAGUCGCGCGUGUGUGUGUGUGUGUGUGUGUGUGUGUGUGUGUGUGUGUGUGUGUGUGUGUGUGUGCAUGUGUUUACAGCCAUGUGACUGUCUGAAUACUUCACAAUAUAACACUUGAUUUUAGCAGAGCACAUUCAGAGUGAUGGAUGCUUUCUGUUCUGACUGUGCGACACAUCAGAGCGAGGCGGCGAGUUCCUGCUGAGCAUCACAGCAUCUCCAAAAAUUCAUCAUUUAGACUUCAGGGAGAAGUUUCCUCUAAUGCUUUUAGAAAUGUCUC